GGCAGUGUGUCCGAGUGGCCAAAGGAAUCUGACUGUAAAUCAGACGGCUCUGCCUUCCCAGGUUCGAAUCCUGGCGCUGCCA
rnacentral:tRNA from 1 species